rnacentral:misc_RNA from 1 species
AAGGAGUCUAACAUAUCUGCGAGUAUUUGGGUGUCAAACCCGAGUGCGCAAUGAAAGUGAACGUAGGAGCCACGCGCAAGCUGCAGCUUCGACCGUUCUGGAUCUUUAGUGAUGGAUUUGAGUAAGAGCAUAUAUGUUGGGACCCGAAAGAUGGUGAACUAUGCCUGAAUAGGGCGAAGCCAGAGGAAACUCUGGUGGAGGCUCGUAGCGAUUCUGACGUGCAUAUCGAUCGUCCAAUUUGGGUAUAGGUGCGAAAGACUAAUCGAACCAUCUAGUAGAUGGUUCCUGC